rnacentral:lncRNA from 1 species
CCAAGUCACGUAUAAUUUAAGAAACAUGGGUUGAAUGCUCAAAUUAAUAUCAAUACACCAAAGGGAUAGCAAGGGGAUAGUUAAGUCUAACUUUGUUACAUUAUGUCUUGCUUUUAGGAGCUCAAUCCCAACAUUCGCGAUGGUUCAGAUUGCUUCCAUACUCUCCAUAGGUUACAAAGAAUGACAAAAACUGAAUUUUUACAACAAACUCCUAUACUCCAAAGAUUUGGAGUUUGC